UCUGCCGGUGCCAUUAAGGCCAGCUCUGGCCACCAUCUCUCCAAAUCGCCAUACCAAACGACUUAGCCUUCCUUCUGAUCAAACCCCCCCCCCCCAAAAAAAAAACUCAAAGGUCAAUAGCAGCUCCUUUCAUCUCCGUCUUCACCAUGCUUUGGCUCCUUCAAAACUCGACGGUAUUUGCAACAACACUGCCACCAGCCAUCCUUGGAAACGAUUUAAAUUACAACCUUUUGGAUUUAGACGAGCUAGAAGUGAUGAUGAUGAUCAGAGGCAUGAAGAUCUUCACAGUCCCAUCAGCGCCUGCCUGAACCACAACAGAUUUGUUUUUUUAAUCGCAUUCCUUCUACGAGAAAUGCAGAUAUUUUUUCCUUAUGGCCCUGCUACAAGAAGUGUUGAUGAUUUGCCUCGAGGCCCUGCUCCAAGAAGUGCAGAUGAUUUGACUGAGGAAACGUUUGGAGAAUCCUGGAAAGCUCAGAACGCUUUGGAUGGAAACUGCUUCACUGGAGAUUCAAUUUCAGUUUCAAAGAGCUGCUUGUUAGGACGGGUUACCCCUUAUUCUGUAACCAGCUUUCAUAUGUAGGAGAUCUCAUCAACAAAGUCUAAUGGACUACAAAGAAGAAGUUACCAGUGGGAUCUUUCAUAUGUAGGAGAUCUCAUUAACAAAGUAUUGGACUACAAGGAAGAAGUAACCAGUGGGAUGUGUCCUGGCGCUGCAGCCGUUGGCUCUUAUAGCUAGUUAAUUAGGUUGUGACAAUGAUCUACUUUUGGCACUUAGAUUUAUAUAGAAUUUUAGGUGGUCAGGUUUUGAUAAAUAUAUAUAGAGUUUUAGAAUGUGUAUUUUUAGGAAGGCAAGAACGACAUAUACGUGUUAUUUUCACCUGGAUUUGUA